GACAACUUGGACACGCACAUGUGUGGGGAAAUGGCCUGUCCCACCAGCCUGAAUGCUCUUCAGCAAGGAAACAAGGAUGCAGCACAGCAACCAAAAGCCCAUGAGACCACGGAAAGCAAUCAUGGCUCUGAUUUCAGAAACUCAAUUAAUGCUCAGCCAUAACAGGACUGUACACUUAAGGGUUAGGAAGAGGCUGUAGCUCCAAGGAAGAUUCUAGCUUUAUGUCUUUGCACCUCUUCACAUUAGCAGGGAAAUACAAGGUGUCUCCGGAACAAGAUAAGGAAAGAUUUCCUCCAGUCAUCUCUUCAGAGGCUAAAAUAAGCCACUCAAAACAUACUCAGCUGGCCUGAGCCCAGGAACAGACCUUACUGUGCAAACUGGAUGAGGUAUUCAGGCACGUGAGUUCUGCUGCCCGCUGAUCCCAUUGCUGACAUUUACCUGCCACCCUGGGGAGCAGGGAGGAAGUUUGAGACAAUUUAUAACACUGGACAAGCAGGAGCACAAGACAAGGCAGUACAAGCUCCUUAAAAACAAUAGCAGUAUCUACAAUCAGGCUCUUUGGAGUCAGACCUCUUUGUCAGCUGCCUGUAUUUUCACAGAGCCACUGAAAGCAAGUGUUUCUUGAAGCAGCCAACAACCACACCAUGAAACCAAGUGAGUGCUUUUUAAAUAUCUUGGAAGCAGACUGCACGCCUGUGGUUCAGGGAAGAAGGCAGUCACAGUGAGGCCAUGUCAGAAGUAAGAACCGGCUAUAGCCAAAUCUCAUUCGCUGCACCCAGGGAACAAUCACCUUGGCAGGAAGGAUAAGGAAGCCUGAAGAGCUGUGCUCAUCAGGAGCACAAAAACCAUGCCACAUUUCCCUUCAGCCUGGCAGCAGUUUUUCAACUGAUGAUUUCUGGGAACAUGCCGCAACACCCUUCUGUAAAGCGGUUCAAGUGUUCAAACCCUCAUACUUGAGCCAGGGGGUCAAAGACGCAUCCAAAUUCAUGCAAGCUCCCCAUGUCCAAAUAUUGCCACCACCAAUUUUCUUUCCGGACUUCAGGACUAAAACACGCCAAUGCCCUGGACCAGGACUUCACUGGAUGUAAAAGAGCAUGUCUUCAAAGCCAAGAAAAUUAGCUUUACCUAAGCAUUAGCUAGCAGCCUAGCCCACCAUGACUUUCAUGACUUCAUCCAUUGAAGGGCUGAAUUUUUGUUUCUACUUGCAGUGCUCCACACAUGUACCUGUAAGCACAGAACAGCACUGGCUAGGCAUUGUAACAGGACCUCACUGACUGAACGCCACGUGUUCCCUGCACCUGUACAGGUCAGCCUCAGCACAGAAGAAAAAGUCCAUCAUUCUGUCUGGACUGUUUUCUCUCAAGUAAUGGAAGUGGUAUCAUACUGAACAGUCUGGCAACAAACCAAGGUGACACCGUAACUGCUAAGAGCUUGGAGAAAGUAUUAAAUAUGAAAUAGAAAGGAAAUAUUCGGUCAGAUCCAAUUAUCCUGACGAGCCUGAGAGGUAAAUUAUUGAAGUUCUUGGCAUAUGCACUGGUACAUAGACUAUCCUGAACCAACAACCACCUCAGGAAAAGAUAUGGCUGCAUCUCUUAGUAUCUUUAGGCUGAUCCUCUGCAAGGGAGCAGUUUCACCUUGUGCCUCAUGCUCAAGUGGAUUGAAGUUUCCUCAUGCCUUUCUUUCAGCUCCUCCACCUCUUGUGUAAGAGACCAGAGUACAGAGCCUGCCCCUCCAAGGGUUAAGAGAUGUCUCAGAACAAGGCAAGCUGAGCAUUUGCUUUUAAUUCUGUCCCUUCCUCUGCUCCCAGCCUCAGUUUUUCACUUUGCCUUUUAAGCUUGCACAUGCCAUGUGAGCUUGUGGGAUAACUGACCAGCCUGAGACUAAGAAAGCCUUUUUGCUUUGAAACCAGCAAAACUAGUUCAGGAAUUGCAACUACAUGUAGUCAAGCCUGCCCUGUAAUUAGCUUUAAAUAAAGGUCCCCUCGACAGGAAACUAAAUACCCAGACUGUUUAACAAUGACUAGCACAGCGGACAGGGCUUUUACUCCUUUGCUUCCAACACAGCAGCAGCUUUUCUGCAAAGCACAAUCCAAGCAGCACAGUAAAGCACUACAACAACAACCAUUUACAAAAGGCUCUUAUUUGGGCUCUCAGAGAGGACAUUUAAGUGUGGCAUGAUGCCUUUCCUCACAAAUCAGUUGUUCCCAGGUGGAAGACUGCAUUCAUUCCCUGCAGCCACAACCACAAACCCAAGAAAGCCAUUAGUGACCCAGCCACAUGACAAAGCCUGGGGCACCCACAGACCCUACACAGAAGAGACAGCCUUCCAAAUGGAUCAAGGGGCCAGAGGUUGCUGCUGCUGGCUGGGGGCUGCUCUGCCUGGCUCCCCAGAACAAAGCACAGCGAUGAAGUGGGCUGAGCACACGGUUCCCAUGUACGGUGGGCAGUACACGGCUGCCCCUGCCUCUGAGGAAGGCAUCCAGUAACCAUCAUGCCUGAAUGUCAAGCGCCAGCUCCACUUCCACCAGGGCUUACCAAAGAAGAAUAAAGCCUACUCCAGCUUCCCAUGACCUUCGCUGUAAGAUGAACUGAUUCAAUUAGCCAUUUUCCCUGAUUUACCACUUUUAAGAAUCAUUUAAAUGGGUGGGAAGACUUCAUUUGUUCAAAAAGCUUUUUGAACUUGGUUUCAAAGGUUACACGACCCAAGGAUACUAAAAAGGCCUCAAGAGGCAGACUGUCAUUUCAGUGUGUGCAAAAUAUUUAGCUGAAGGUAAUACAGCUUCCCCCUGCACUGAUGUUUUUAAUCUGGUUUGCUCCCCUUCAUCCACUGGUUAGUGAUGAAAACACCGAGUCCCUCAUGUCUUCGAUACAGUGUAUUGAGCUUUACAGAGGCACCUGUGCCACCUCAUUCCUUGAAAAAGAUUUCUAGGUUUCAUUUAGCUCUGCUUUACAACCUGAGAAGACCUUUUGAGCUACAGCUGACUUGCUGCCUGCAACAGUCCUUGUUCCAGCAUAGAGCUGAAAAUUAAGGUCUCUAGUUGUAUACUACAAAGAAAAAUAGCAAGGUCAAACCAUCCAAUUUUGUCUUACUUUACACUUGGAAAAAUGUUACCUAAGCACUUCUAAAACCUGAUGGUCUCAGCUAAACAAACCGAUGCUUGACCUGAAAUUGCUGCAAAGUGAAUGCCUGCUCAGUGCCCUUUGCAAGCCAGACUGCUCUGAGAAGUAAAAUUCAAAUGUGCUGAAAAGUUAUGAGCAAAAUUACAGCAACUGGGACCUUGCACCAAUUUGGCUGUUACUGUCUAUAAAUAACCUGGUUGUUGAUCCUGGCCCCUUGUUCUAGGAAAAGCAUCCCAUGAUUAGGAUUUCAGUGCUGUGAGAAGGAUGGGAGAGAGCGAAACAGAUGGAGCUGAAGACUUGGUGAGACUGAAUUUUAAUUUGCAAGCAGGAUUACAAUUCAAAGGGCCCUCAAUUUCUUCCCUUCCUCCUAGAUACCACCAAGUUUACAAGUAUUUCAAAAACGCUAACAGCACUGCAGCUGACAGGUAUGUACCCAGUGAUUGUUACAGAGUAAUACCACCCAGCUGUGAAGUAGUUGUAUUCUACUCUUUUUACUUCUCAGCUAUUGAAAUCUUCUGGCUGUGUAGAUGGGCAAAUAAAGUACACCUGGAAG